rfam:Schistosoma margrebowiei strain Zambia genome assembly, scaffold: SMRZ_contig0002293
GCACUGCUAAGAAGUCCCACAAUAGGACGAAACGGCCGUCCAGUGC